AUCCCUUGCUUUGGCAGAAUAUGUGCUAAAAUUGGAAUGAUGCAGACAAUAUUAGCAUGGUCCCAGUAUAAGGAUGACAUGCAAAUCCAUUAAAAAUUAUCUUAUUGUU
ensembl:snRNA U6 U6 spliceosomal RNA